AUGGCAAGCGGCAGGCUACCAUGCAGUCGAGGGGUAGAGAUUAGCUUGCUAAUCUUGAGACCGGCGCACGGGUGCGUAACGCGUAUGCAACCUACCUUUUACAAAGGGAUAGCCCGGAGAAAUUCGGAUUAAUACCUUAUAGUAUUGUUGAUAAUCAUUUAUUAACAAUUAAAGUUUCGGCGGUAAAAGAUGGGCAUGCGUCCUAUUAGCUAGAUGGAGUGGUAACGGCACCCCAUGGCAACGAUAGGUAGGGGUCCUGAGAGGGAGAUCCCCCACACUGGUACUGAGACACGGACCAGACUCCUACGGGAGGCAGCAGUGAGGAAUAUUGGACAAUGGACGCAAGUCUGAUCCAGCCAUGCCGCGUGCAGGAAGACGGCCCUAUGGGUUGUAAACUGCUUUUAUACAAGAAGAAUAAGACUUACGUGUAAGUUGAUGACGGUAUUGUAUGAAUAAGCACCGGCUAACUCCGUGCCAGCAGCCGCGGUAAUACGGAGGGUGCAAGCGUUAUCCGGAAUCAUUGGGUUUAAAGGGUCCGUAGGCGGGCUAAUAAGUCAGGGGUGAAAGUUUGCAGCUCAACUGUAAAAUUGCCUUUGAUACUGUUAGUCUUGAAUUAGUAGGAAGUGGUUAGAAUAAGUAGUGUAGCGGUGAAAUGCAUAGAUAUUACUUAGAAUACCGAUUGCGAAGGCAGAUCACUACUACUAUAUUGACGCUGAUGGACGAAAGCGUGGGGAGCGAACAGGAUUAGUGCCC
rnacentral:rRNA from 1 species